CAAGAGCGUAUGUAAAAGUUGUUGCAGUUAAAAAGCUCGUAGUUGAACCUUGGGUUUGGUUGGCCGGUCCGCUUUUUUGCGAGUACUGGAUUCAACCGAGCCUUUCCUUCUGGCUAACCAGUCGUUUCGGCGGCUGGCGAACCAGGAUGUUUACUUUGAGAAAAUUAGAGUGUUCAAAGCAGGCAUUAGCUUGAAUAUAUUAGCAUGGAAUAAUAGAAUAGGACGUUAUGGUUCUAUUUUGUUGGUUUCUAGGACCAUCGUAAUGAUUAAUAGGGACGGUCGGGGGCAUCAGUAUUCAGUUGUCAGAGGUGAAAUUCUUGGAUUUACUGAAGACUAACUACUGCGAAAGCAUUUGCCAAGGACGUUUUCAUUAA
rnacentral:rRNA from 1 species